rnacentral:lncRNA from 1 species
AAAAAUUAAAUACAAUUGAAGCCUCUACAAAAGUAAGUAAAUUAGAAAGCCACGAUUGUUAAUAGACAUGUACUACAUAAAUGUAGUAAUUUAUUAUUUUUACAACAAAGUUAAGUACCAAAAGUCAUUGGGUUGCCACCUCCAACUUGAUGCCCUAUUACAUCUAUCUUGUUUGUCUCCAUCUGUUAUCCCAAGCUAUCAAUUUAAAUGCAAAAACACCAAGUUACUACAUAUUCAAAUCGACUAAUCAGAUAACAUAGAUUAUAUUAAUUAUAUAGAAAUGUCCAAAUAUUCUAUGUUAAUUAUAUAGAAAUGUUCAAAUAAUAUUUGGAUGUUGUAUCAUAAUUUCGUAUCAAACUAAUUGAAUUUUGCGAUUAUUAUAAAUAAUUCUAAAUAAUUUACUUAAAUACACACAAAAUCUUAUUUUUCAUUUUGUAAUAUAAAUGAGACAUAUCAUAAUUAUGAAAUAUAUGUAAGCCUUUGCACUCGAGAAAUCAUAUAGAACAUUUAUUUUUAUUUUUUUUAUUAUUAUUGUUAAUUAAUUAAAAUGCGAUUAUAUAUAAAAGAAGAAAAAGAAACCUAAAAACCCUUGAAAGCACACAAAAGCAGACUAAGGGCCCAGCCUCAUUAAAACUUUUUCAUGAAAAACCCUAAGGGAAAAACCAAAAAAGGAAAAAGAGUGCUCGUCUAAGACGAAAAACCACGACCAGAAGAGCGGAAAGGAAAGUUUCUGAAACUCCGGCCUAACCAUCGUCCCAAAACAAUCCCGGCUCAAGCCAGUCAAAACCACAACCAAAAACAUAGACACAAAAAAGACUAUGGCCGGUAAGACUCCGUCGCCAUAAUCUAACAAAAAGAAAAAUAAAAAAAACUUCAGCCGGUUAUACGCCGUCGAUGAAGAAUCCAAACCAACAACAAAAGAACGAGAUGUAGGCCGGUUAGAAUCCGUUGCCCACGUCCAAAAAUAACCCAAGUAAGAAGAGAUCUUAAAACAUAUAGAACAUUUAUUAAAAUGUGAUUACAUAUAAAAGAGAAAAAUAAAGAAAUCCACACUUAAAAUCAUCAUUUGUCCAACGAUCUUCAAUAGAAAUCCAAGACUUAUCCAUCUAGUUAUUCACAUAAAUACAAUUAUUCAUCAUAAAUAAAAAAAAUAUCAGAACUAUACAGAAUGAGUGUAAACAAAUUGUAUAACAAUUUCAACAUUGUGAUCAUAUUCUUAUUAUGCAGUGUCUAUGACAACUAUGCAGACUUCUAUUAUAAUUAAAUAGAAUUAGGAUUCAUUCACUCCUUCGGCAACAGGUUAGUAACACAAUCCAAUUCUAAUUUCACAACAAAAUUGCACACUUCUAGAAACCACAAUUUGACAAUUUGUAAAAUCAAAUUUCAUCUUGACUUCAUCCAUUAUCUUCACAAUUCCACAGUUCCAAUUGACAAAUUCCAAAACCGCAAGUAUUACUUAAAGUGCAAUUCUUUUCCACUUACCUUAAUCAGUUAAUAAGAGGUGUCUAAGUCGGCGCCGCCGAGGCAGAGUCAGGGCGGCGAGUCGGCAGCGGGGACGGGGCGGUGAGACGGCGAAGAGAUUACAGAGCAAUUGGGCGAGAUUCAACACCAAGGCGUGCUCAAAGAUUUGUUGUUUCGAUUUUUUCCCCCUAAGUAUUUGUUGUUUCCUUAUUUGCAUCAAACCGUAAGCAAAUUACAUUAUCUCUCUAAGAAAAUAUAAGGGAAAUGCUGGAUGCACAUAAUAUGUACGCACAUAAUUGAAUAUUUUUGUCAUUUUAUAAAUCUCCAUAAACUAUGGGGUUAAUACAAUUUCAAUUGAAUUUCUAAUUUACGUAAUCAUCCUUUGAGAUAAUUAAUGAAUGUACAAUUCAAAUUUCAAUCUUAUAUCUUUCCUUAAUAAUAAAUUAUUUAUUUCCUUAAAUUAAAUUAUGAAUCAAUUUUCAUUAUACAGCUUUAUUUAUCAAUGAUUUACAUCCUAUAAAUUAGCUCAAACUCAACUAGAAGAAUCAAGUAAUUAAAAUUGCAG